UCUAGCCUGUGGGUGUGAACGCACCUUUGCCCCCCCCCGCCGCCGCCGCCCUUCCAAACCGAUCUGCACCUCAACCCACUAGCCCGGCUCCGGCUCCACCCGCGCCCGGGGCUGUGGCCGGCCGGCGGGGAGCGGCCCGGCCGUUACCAAUCCCCUCCCCGGCCCUGCCCCGCGAGCCGCUGCCGGGCCAUGGCCGCCGAGCGCGGGCCCGGCCGCAGGAAGCCGUGUCCGCCCCGCAGCGCCCUCCGGAAGGCGGCCCGGAGCCCCGGCCCCGGCGUUCCGCUUGUAGAUUACACAUCCCAAAUGCCCCUCCGUCACACCCCUUCUGGGACCACUGUGCAUCCCCUGCAUUUGGCCUAGAGGUGUACAGGGGAGAUAUCAGGCUGGACCCAUCCCAGCAGCUGGUGGGGCACUGGGCCUCCAUUAACUUGGCUUCCGGUGUCGCCUCCCAGCUGCCCCCCCAAGAAAGCAUGGAGUCCUCCCAGGAGGACAUUGCAGAAGCCAGGCCGACAGCUGCCAACCUGGAGCAGAUCCUACCCCCGGAGGUGCCUUCAGCUGAGACCUUUAGCUGCGACCUAGCACCCUGCCCUCACCCAUCCCUGGAGCACCAGGCAGGCCAGCUGGGAAUGCUGUCCGGGGAAUAUCUGCAGAUGUGUUUAAGCAGCAUGGGAGAGUCGUCUUUGCACAGCAACCUGGCGUCUGCCUUGCUACCUGCAGUACCUUCCUCAGACGUUCCUUUGCUACCAGCCAGUGCGCCCCCAUCUCCUGGGGCCUCCUGCAUGGAAACCAACGCGGAAGUGGAUCCCGAGACUGGGGAGUGGGCACUGGCCUAACCCUGUCCAUCCCGCCCCUUUUCAGAGGACUGAUCUCUUCCUAUGGCCGCUCACACUUCAGACCCGCUUCUCUCCUCCCUGCCACCACGUCCUUCCGAGCUGGAGCAGCGACCCUCUGUUCAGCGUCCCAGCGAUACUCCCUACGUCAGGGAUCUCAAACUCAAAUCACCCCAAGGGCCACAUGAGGACUAGUACAUUGGCCCGAGGGCUGCAUCACUGACACCUUUCCAUAUAAAGAUACAAAAGCCUCCCCCC
rnacentral:lncRNA from 1 species